rnacentral:rRNA from 1 species
UACGUAGGGUGCAAGCGUUUAUCCGGAAUUAUUGGGCGUAAAGAGCUCGUAGGCGGUUUGUCGCGUCUGCUGUGAAAACUGGAGGCUCAACCUCCAGCCUGCAGUGGGUACGGGCAGACUAGAGUGCGGUAGGGGAGAUUGGAAUUCCUGGUGUAGCGGUGGGAAUGCGCAGAUAUCAGGAGGAACACCGAUGGCGAAGGCAGAUCUCUGGGCCGUAACUGACGCUGAGGAGCGAAAGCAUGGGGGAGCGAACAGG